GUAGGGAAUCUUUCACAAUGGGCGAAAGCCUGAUGGAGCAACGCCGCGUGAGUGAAGAAGGAUUUCGGUUCGUAAAACUCUGUUGUAAGGGAAGAACAAGUACAGUAGUAACUGGCUGUACCUUGACGGUACCUUAUUAGAAAGCCACGGCUAACUACGUGCCAGCAGCCGCGGUAAUACGUAGGUGGCAAGCGUUGUCCGGAAUUAUUGGGCGUAAAGCGCGCGCAGGUGGUUUCUUAAGUUUGAUGUGAAAGCCCACGGCUCAACCGUGGAGGGUCAUUGGAAAGUGGGAGACUUGAGUGCAGAAGAGGAUAGUGGAAUUCCAAGUGUAGCGGUGAAAUGCGUAGAGAUUUGGAGGAACACCAGUGGCGAAGGCGACUUUCUGGUCUGUAACUGACACUGAGGCGCGAAAGCGUGGGGAGCAAACAGGAUUAGAUACCCUGGUAGUCCACGCCGUAAACGAUGAGUGCUAAGUGUUAGGGGGUUUCCGCCCCUUAGUGCUGCAGCUAACGCAUUAAGCACUCCGCCUGGGGAGUACGGUCGCAAGACUGAAACUCAAAGGAAUUGACGGGGGCCCGCACAAGCGGUGGAGCAUGUGGUUUAAUUCCAACCAACGCGAAGAACCUUACCAGGUCUUGACAUCCCGUUGACCACUGUAGAGAUAUGGUUUCCCCUUCGGGGGCAACGGUGACAGGUGGUGCAUGGUUGUCGUCAGCGUGUGGCGAGAUGUGGUGUGUUAUCUCCCACAACGCGCCCCCCCCUUUUUUUUAUUUGCUAUUAUUUUGGUGCCCCCUCUAGGGUGGCCGCCGGAAAAAAACAAGAAGGGGGGGGGGAAGACCAAAAAUUCUCAUGCCCCUUUUGAGAGGGGGUCCACACGUGCUACAAUGGACGAUACAAACGGUUGCCAACUCGCGAGAGGGAGCUAAUCCGAUAAAGUCGUUCUCAGUUCGGAUUGUAGGCUGCAACUCGCCUACAUGAAGCCGGAGUCGCUAGUAAUCGCGGAUCAGCAUGCCGCGGUGAAUACGUUCGCGGGUCUUGCACACCCCCCCCUCACCCCCACGAGAGUUUGUAACACCCGAAGUCGGUGAGGUAACCUUUUGGAGCCAGGGG
rnacentral:rRNA from 1 species